rnacentral:rRNA from 1 species
GACGAACGCUGGCGGCGUGCUUAACACAUGCAAGUCGAACGGAAAGGCCCCUUUGGGGGUACUCGAGUGGCGAACGGGUGAGUAACACGUGAGUAACCUGCCCUUGACUUCGGGAUAACUUCAGGAAACUGGGGCUAAUACCGGAUAGGAAUCCUUGCUGCAUGGUGGGGGUUGGAAAGCUUCGGCGGUUUUGGAUGGACUCGCGGCUUAUCAGCUUGUUGGUGGGGUAGUGGCUUACCAAGGCUUUGACGGGUAGCCGGCCUGAGAGGGCGACCGGCCACAUUGGGACUGAGAUACGGCCCAGACUGCUACGGGAGGCAGCAGGGGGGAAUAUUGCACAAUGGGCGGAAGCCUGAUGCAGCAACGCCGCGGGCGGGAUGACGGCCUUCGGGUUGUAAACCGCUUUCAGCAGGGGCGAAGCUUGUGGUGACGGUACCUGCAGAAGAAGCACCGGCUAACUACGUG